ensembl:snoRNA
GAGGUAUGAGGAAAACAUCUGAGUCAGUCUGAUUGUAACUGAAGACUGAUAAGAUCCAACUCUGACCUCAGCAAAGCC